rnacentral:lncRNA from 1 species
AUUUUUUUUUCAAUAAAUCAAGUUUACUGUUUCCACCUAAACCCCCGUGAUGUGAAUCUCUUGUUGGAGUUGAUUGCAGCAGGAUUUCCCCAGGAGCCCCCUGCCCUGUGGAGCCUGGAAAGUUCAUCAGAGGAGCAGUGGAAGUGGUUAAAAGUGAGAAAUUCCAGUGCAAAAAUCCAACCUGGUUUUGGUGGCUGGGACGUGGAGAAGAUUGUGUGGCCACCAGCUCUUCACCUUCUCCACAGCAGCAGAAACAUCACCAGAGGAGCUUUUCUCUUCCUGAUCUUCCCAUCCCAAGACAAAUUCAGGAAAAAAAAACAUUUUUCCAGCUUCUUGGUUUCACUCCAGGAUCCUCUGGAAUUCCCUGUGGGAAACCACACCAGUGGCUGCCACCGGAUCCGGGUCACUCUGGUUCUCAGGGGCUUCUUCAAACAGCCCCUGGCUGGUGCUGCAGUUCCAGGAGAUGCUGGACCUUCAGGAGGAGAUGUUUGGAGCACUGCAGCCCUGCUCUGGAGGAAGAGGCCCAGCCCCUCGUGCUGCUCUGUGACUCGUGACUCCCUGGUUUUUGGAUUCCCUUGGCUUGCUUCAGCUGCACUCCAUCACCUUAAGAUUUUUCCCAUCCUGGGGCAUCGUGGCAGCAAAGUGAUUUUCUCCAGAGACACAAACCCGGUUCUUCCCACAGCCCUUGCCUGCUCCUACCUCGGCAGCAAACAAAACCCUCCCAAUUCCCGCUGGUACUAA